ACAACGACUCUCGGCAACGGAUAUCUCGGCUCUCGCAUCGAUGAAGAACGCAGCGAAAUGCGAUACCUGGUGUGAAUUGCAGAAUCCCGUGAAUCAUCGAGUCUUUGAACGCAAGUUGCGCCCGAGGCCUUUAGGCCGAGGGCACGCCUGCCUGGGCGUCACG
rnacentral:rRNA from 1 species